CCUACGGGUGGCAGCAGUGGGGGAUAUUGCACAAUGGGGGGAACCCUGAUGCAGCGACGCCGCGUGGGUGAAGGAGUGCUUCGGCAUGUAAAGCCCUAUCGGCAGGGAAGAAGCAAGACGGUACCUGACUAAGAAGCCCCGGCUAACUACGUGCCAGCAGCCGCGGUAAUACGUAGGGGGCGAGCGUUAUCCGGAUUCACUGGGUGUAAAGGGAGCGUAGACGGCCAAGCAAGCCAGGGGUGAAAGCCCGGGGCCCAACCCCGGGACCGCCCUUGGAACUGCAUGGCUGGAGUGCGGGAGGGGCAGGCGGAAUUCCUGGUGUAGCGGUGAAAUGCGUAGAUAUCAGGAGGAACACCGGCGGCGAAGGCGGCCUGCUGGACCGCGACUGACGUUGAGGCUCGAAAGCGUGGGGAGCAAACAGGAUUAGAUACCCCGGUAGUC
rnacentral:rRNA from 1 species